UACGGAGGGGCAAGCGUUGUUCGGAGUCACUGGGCGUAAAGGGCGCGUAGGCGGUGCGUAAAGUCAGGCGUGAAAGCCCCGGGCUUAACCUGGGAAUUGCGCUUGAUACUGACGUGCUAGAGAACGGGAGAGGAUGGCGGAAUUCCCAGUGUAGAGGUGAAAUUCGUAGAUAUUGGGAAGAACACCGGUGGCGAAGGCGGCCAUCUGGACCGUUUCUGACGCUGAGGCGCGAAAGCGUGGGGAGCAAACAGG
rnacentral:rRNA from 1 species